AGUAAAAUCAUGUCCUGUCAACUUGCAGUGUCUCACUACGCACUAGGAUGAGUUAUAACAACCUCAACUUAAAGGGAAAUUUAAAACUUUAAAUAAGGUGUUCAUAUAACAACAAAACAUAGGUUGUUUCAAUUUUUUUGCCUCAUGCGCAUGUGCCAGAAUCUCUACGUCAUAAUGACGUACUACUUUAACGAAUUUGAACAAGACGCGCCAGCGCCAUUUUCUGCACGAGAGGACGAGAUCGCUACACGAGUUGCUGAUGGGAGAAAAAAGAAGACGAAGGAGCUCUUAUUUGAACGACUACAGAUGUAUUUUUAUAACAACAAACCAAAGGAUGAGGACUGCAGCAUUGCUUGGGCUGCCGUGAUACAUGCGAGAGACUCCAUCUAAAUUCAUGAAGAUAUGCGAGCCCAGUGACCAUGAAGAGGAUGUGAUCAAGGGCGUGGUGAUCGGAAUCCUAGUGGUUGUGGAAAAUGCGGAGCCUUUUCCAGAAUUCUACAAUGACGUUGCCCUGGUGAUUGAGGAAGAAGUGGUGAUGCGUCACCCUGAGUGACAUACCUAAUGCUUUUCUGAACCUGAUUGGCCUGGUGUACGCAUUAAACCUUGACUAUCCAAAGGAAUUAAAAUUCACUUUUGAAGUGAUACAGCGCCUGUUCAUUGGAGUUGGAUCACACUCUUGCACCGCAAGAGUUCACUCUUUGAAGAGCAAGUUGCUGAGAUAAGAAACUAUUUUCUUCUCCUUGUUACUAUAAGCAUUUACAGUGUUACACUGUUUAAAAGUUUAAGACCAUUGUUAUUUUAGAUAUUAUUGUUUUAAAGGGAUACUCCAUCGUUUUGUCAUAUUAAACUGUUAUUACCUUAAAGCAAUAGUUCACUUUGAAAUUAAAUUCUAAUGUUUUAGCUUACCUCAAGGGCAUCCAAGAUGUAGGUGUCUUUGUUUCCGUGGUAGUUUCACUUUUGAUGUUUUUAGGUCAAACUGUUGUUGUC